rnacentral:lncRNA from 1 species
CUGGCUUUUGCUGACCGUCCCCUGCGGGUACAGAAUAAGGUUCAUGAAGUGCUGAGCUGCAGGCCAGGAACCAGGCACACCCACAGCGUGUGUAGAGCUGCUACACUGCAGAGCCACUAGUUGGUAAAGAGGGACACAUGCACGCACACUGAACAUGACAGUAGUAGUCCUGUUGGGUCUGUGGACCUGUCCGGCUGUGGACUCCAUCCUGCUUCCCUCCAGCAGACCUCGGGCCUGGGGAAGACGGCUCUGACUCACAUUUUCAGUUUUAAUAAAUUUAAUGUUUUGAAAUUAGUCUAUGGAAUUUAUUGAGGGUUGGUAAAUUUGAAGGACUAGACUGCAUAAUUAAAUAAAGGUUUAUUAUAUUAAAGAAUAUCAGCGAUGUUAACGGUUUGCCCGGUUACCCUUGGCAACCAAAUUGUGACAAUUGAAAAUCUGAUUUGAGUGGCUUUCCAUCUCUGUCUGCACUUUUUCUUCGCCCAGAAAGGACAGUGAAUAGGUUGGUCAACAGAACUGGUCUCAUCUCUACGUGAUGCCAUCAGCGACCUCAUGUCUGUCAGUCACUCCUUGCCUGUGUUCUUCUCGACUAAGACAAUGUCAAACAAAC